GCACAAGCGGUGGAGCAUGUGGUUCAAUUCGACGCAACGCGAAGAACCUUACCCAGGCUUGAACAGCCAGUGACCACUCCUGAAAAGGAGCUUCCGCAAGGACACUGGUAGAGGUGCUGCAUGGCUGUCGUCAGCUCGUGUCGUGAGAUGUUGGGUUAAGUCCCGCAACGAGCGCAACCCUUGUCUGCUGUUGCCAUCACGUUAUGGUGGGCACUCUGCAGAGACUGCCGGUGAUAAACCGGAGGAAGGUGGGGAUGACGUCAAGUCAGCAUGGCCUUUAUGUCUGGGGCUACACACGUGCUACAAUGGCAGAUACAAACCGUCGCGAGACCGCAAGGUGGAGCUAAUCGGAGAAAGUCUGUCUCAGUUCGGAUUGUCGGCUGCAACUCGCCGGCAUGAAGUUGGAAUCGCUAGUAAUCGCAGAUCAGCACGCUGCGGUGAAUACGUUCCCGGGC
rnacentral:rRNA from 1 species